CGUAUCCAAUCCUGUAUAACUUUAGUUUCGCAGGAAACCUCAUCCAAAAUUUAAUCUUGGUUAAAUACUACAUACAGAAGCAAAAGCUCACCUCAUCUUAACCUGACAUAUCCACAUUAUAUGACAAUUGGAAGCACAAUCUUCGUUGUAAUAUUAUGUCAAAGAUAUCAGCCAAAAGAGCACAAAAGAUAGGAAUAGGUGGAUUGAGAUUUGGGAUCAAGGUGUUCUUGUGACCCGUGAACAAUUGGAUUCUGAUGCCAGUGCUGGAUGACUAUCUCCUGAUCUUCUUGUUGGGUAUAAUAUUUUCUUCUAUGUAGUUUACUAUAUAUCCUCUUUCUAAAAUGUAUAUAUAGUUCCCUUAAACACCACCUGAGAUUGAGCGUUAGACACCGCCAUUUGUUUAUUGUUUAAGAAACAAGCUCUGGUAAAUCCUCUCCUGCAAAAUGUAUGUAAUCUCUAUUUCAGUCCUUAUCCACGCCUACAAUCUUUAUAAUACUCUCAACAUCUAUCAAUUCUUAUUCCAGUUUAACCUAAUUCUGACAUUUAAUGUUCAUAUUACUCAAUAGAA